AGGACGAACGCUGGCGGCGUGCUUAACACAUGCAAGUCGAGCGGUAAGGCCUUUCGGGGUACACGAGCGGCGAACGGGUGAGUAACACGUGGGUGAUCUGCCCUGCACUUCGGGAUAAGCCUGGGAACUGGGUCUAAUACCGGAUAUGACCUCCUAUCGCAUGGUGGGUGGUGGAAAGAUUUAUCGGUGCAGGAUGGGCCCGCGGCCUAUCAGCUUGGUUGGUGGGUAUGGCCUACAGGCGACGACGGUAGCCGACCUGAGAGGGUCGACCGGGACCACGACGUCGGGACGUAGAGACGACCGGCCCAGACUCCGUACGGGAGGCAGGCAGGUGGGAAUAUGCACAGUGGGACUAAAGCCUAGAGUGACGAGCCGACGCCGCGGU
rnacentral:rRNA from 1 species